CCUUGCCAGCAUCCACCAGGCCCAACACCAGGCCAUCGUAGAAAUGCACAUUUUGGGGUACUCCUUCGGGCCCUGGAAGAGGACCGGCGGGUGCUGCGGAGCUUAGUUCCCCGGCAACAGCGAACCCUCCCGUGCUACUCAUGAAGAUGGGGCCUCAAGAUGAACCGGAGGCCUACCUCGAGCUCUUUGAGCACACAGCCAAAGUCCUGAGAUGGCCACAGGAACAAUGGGUGGUACAUCUUCUGCCGCUGCUGACCGGGGAAGCCCAGAUCGCGGCACAACAACUUCCGGUCGCCGACUUACUGGACUACGCGAGGUUGAAGAAGUCCAUCCUGCAACGGGUUGGCCGCAGCCCAGAAGAACACUCCACUCCUUGAUGCUGAGCGAGGUCGGCUGCCCAUUUGUCUUUGCUCAGCAGCUCCGUGACGCCUGCUGGUGGUGGGUGCUGGCCAAGGAAGACAGCAACGCUGAUGAAAUCAUCAGCUUGGUGGUGCUGGAGCAGUUCAUCUCCCAGCUGCCGAAGGGGAUGGCCGAGUGGGUCGCUGGACUAAGCAGUCCAGCUGGCGGAAGACCAUCUGAUGGUGUAUUCGGGGGCCGGCGCACCCCGUGUCCUUUCCCCCCUGUUGUCUCCUUCCCUGUUCCCUCCCCCCCUCCUUCCUUCCGCCCUGUUCCAUUUCCCCAGAAAUGGGGGAACAUUCCCCCAAGAUCGGCUCCCCGGUCAUGGGAGUUCCCUGCUCUAACAAACCCUGUCUCUCCCCUCUCUUCCUCUCAGGUGGAGUCUCCGCCAUGAGUGUGGGUGGGAGGCCUGGGCCGGUCUGCUGGGGUUGCUGGGAGCCAGGUCAUGUCUGAGAGCAAUGCCAUGUAUUGGAGGUGGGGGCCUUGAUUCGGAUCCCUGACACCCCACGGACUGCCCCUGGUUGAGCAGUGACGUAUCAAGUACCUGUGAGUAUUAAGGGCUUGGUGGAUUCAGGUUGUAAUCAAACCUCCAUUCAUCAAUGCUUGGUUCAAAACAGGGCAUUGGAAACAGAUAAUUGGGUAAAGGUGAGGUGUGUGCAUGGGGAUAUUCAUGAUUAUCCUGUAGUGACUGUCACGAUAAUGUUCCGGGGACAAAAGCAUAAUGUUGAGGCGGUGGUUACACUGCGCCUCACCCAUCCACUAAUUUUGGAAACUAAUUGGCCAGCUUUUCAUUUAUUAUUGAAGGGGCUGUGUGCGGAUGGGUCCUGUGAGGAAGUGAAUCGUGUGGGAUGUGCAAAGCUCUGGCUGGGGAAGCAUGGCUUGGGCCGUCUACCUCUGCUCCGCAUCAGGCUGACGCUGGGGAAGGAGAGGUGUCAUACUCCCCUGCCCUUAGGGAAUUCCUGGUGGAGGAUUUCCCUCUAGAGCAGUCGCAAGACGAAACCCUGAAACACAUGUUUGACCAAGUGAUAGGGAUUGAUGGUCAACGUCUUCAGCCGGACAUCGCACUCACAUAUCCAUAUUUUUCAAUUAUAAAAGAUCGGUUGUAUAGAGUGACACAGGACACUCGCACAGAGGAAAAUACAACCCAGUUGUUAGUACCAAAGAACCGUCGAGACAUGUAAUUCCAGGCUGCUCAUUAUAAUUCGAUGGCAGGUCACUUGGGACAGGGGAAAACACUAAGCCAUCUCAUGGUCUGUUUCUAUUGGCCAGGCAUUCACAGGGAUGUUCGCAGUUGGUGUGCCGCAUGCUGUGAAUGUCAGCUGGUGAAUCCGCCAGUCGCUCCAAAAGCGGCGUUGCACCCUCUUCUGUUGAUCGAUGUUCCUAUUGAGCAAAUUGCCAUGGACCUCGUCGGGCUAUUAGAAGGGAUGGCACCCGGACAUCGCAUUGUGUUAGUCCUGGAGGAUUAUGCAACGCAAUAUCUGGAAGCAGUGCCUCUGCGCAACAUCUCAGCACGUAGUGUUGCGGAAGCACUCUUCAGAAUUAUCUCCUGAGUGGGGAUUCCGAAAGAAAUCCUCACUGAUCAGCGCACUACUUUCAUGUCACGUACACUGCGUGAGCUGUACUAAUUAUUGGGUAUUAUAUCGAUUCAGACAAGCGUGUACCAUCCACAAAUGGAUGGCUUGGUUGAACGAUUUAAUAAGACCUUAAAAAACAUGAUUCGUAAAUUUGUGCACGAAGAUGCUCGGAAUUGGGAUAAGUGCCUUGAACACCUGUUAUUUGCAGUACGAGAGAUCCCACAAGCCUUCACGGGGUUUUCCCUGUUUGAAUUGUCAUAUGGGCGUAAGCCCUGUGGCAUGUUAAAUGUCAUGAAGGAAAAUUUGGAGGAGGGACCUUCACAGAGUAAAAAUGAAAUUCUUGACCUGAGAGCAAAACUCCACACACUUGGGCGACUAUCACAGGAGAAUUUGCUACAGGCUCAAGAACAUCAGUCCCGACUGUAUAACAGGCGAGCCCAGCUACAGGAAAUUGCACCGGGAGAUAAAGUACUUUAAUUACUGCCCACAUCGAGCUUGAAAUUACUUGCAAAGUGGCAAGGGCCAUUUGAGGUCGCACGGCGAGUUGGGGAAGUCAACUAUGAGGUAGUGCCUACGGAUAGAGGCGGGGCUCGCCAAAUUUACCACCUCAACCUACUAAAACCAUGGAGAGAGGUGGUUCCUGUAUCCUUGGUGAUGGUAGUUCUGGAGAGGGAGGAGCUCGGUCCGAAGGUGAGUCUAAUAGCCAAUCAGUUCACCCUGGUCCCUUGUGGAGACCACCUCUCACCGUCACUACGUACGGAGGUUGCCAGAUUGCAAAAUAAUUUCUCUGACGUGUUCUAGCCUCUCCCCGGCUACACUAAUCCCAUAAAACACCACAUCGAGACAACCCAGUGGAACGUAAUCGGCCCUACUGGUUACCUGAACACAAUAAACAGGUAGUAUGGGAAGAAUUAAAGGCCAUGCUCGAUAUGGGGAUAAUAGAAGAAUUCCACAGCGAUUGGGCCAGCCCGGUAGUUCUGGUGCCUAAGAGCGAUGGUCCGGUUCUGUGUGUAUUAUAGGAAAGUCAAUGCGGUGUCAAAAUUUGACCCGUAUCCAAUGCCUCGUAUUGACAAACUGCUCGAUCGGUUGGGCACGGCUCGCUUUUAUUCGACACUGGAUUUAACAAAGGGAUAUUGGCAGAGACCCUUAAUGCUGAUGUCCCGUGAGAAAACGGCCUUCUCCACACCGUUUGGGUUGCACCAAUUUGUGACCCUUCCAUUCGGUUUGCUUGGGGCCCCGGCUACGUUUCAGCGUCUUAUGGACAGAGUCCUCAGACCGCAUGCUGCAUAUGCCGCUGCUUAUUUGGAUGAUAUCAUUAUUUACAGUAAUGAUUGGCAGUGGCACAUGCAGCAUCUGAGGGCCAUUCUGAGGUCACUGUGACGAGCGGGGCUCACAGCAAACCCGAGUGCACAAUUGGACGGGUGGAGGUACGGUAUCUGGGGUUCCACUUGGGUCAUGGGCAAGUGCAGCCACAAAUUUAUAGAACCACAGCAAUUGCGACAUGCCCAAGACCCAAGACCAAAAAGGAGGUGAGACAGUUCCUGGGGCUGGCUGGCUAUUAUCGAAGGUUUGUGCCUAAUUAUUCAGAUGUCACCAGCCCGCUGAAUGAUCUCACUAAAAAGGGAGCUCCAGACCCGGUCCAGUGGACAGAGCCAUGCCAACAAGCUUUCACGCAGGUAAAAGCUGCACUUUGUGGCGGGCCGCUUUUGCAUUCCCCUAACUUCUCUCUCCCCUUUGUUUUGCAGACGGAUGCAUCGGACAGGGGGCUGGGUGCUGUACUGUCCCAGGUGGUGGAGGGGGAGGAGCGCCCAGUGCUGUACAUUAGUCGGAAGCUCUCUAUGAGAGAGACUAAGUACAGCACCAUAGAGAAGGAAUGCUUGGACAUCAAAUGGGAAGUCCUCACUCUCCGCUACUAUUUGCUGGGACGAGCAUUCACCCUCGAUUCGGACCAUGACCCGCUCCAGUGGCUCCACCGCAUGAGGUAUGCCAACACCUGGAUCACUCCUUGGUAUCUGGAACUCCAGCCAUUUAAGGUCCACAGGCCGGGGGUGCAGAUGGCAGAGUGGGCAGGCCGGGCUGUUCCCCUGACCUGAGUCGGGCAGUGGGGUUAUGUGAGGGCGAGGGCAUGGCCGAGCGUUCGUCUGGGGAGAGAGGAAGCGACUGACCCUUGACCUUUGUAGCCAUGACAAGGCACUGCCUUCCAGCGCAUUCAGCAACACAAAAGUGGGCAUUCUGCAGUCGUAAAUUUCAUGUUUCAUAAAAGAUCUGUACACCAGUCAAGAACUGGUUCAUGUUUUUGAAAAUAUGUGUGUUUAAAGUGUUUUAAAAGGCAUUAAACCUUUCGUGUGUAUCACUACACUACACUUUUCCAUAUUUUUAGUACACAAUUACUCUAUAAUAACCAAAUGAACCACAUAAAAUGUGAAAGCAACUAUAAAGUAGAUCAAUGAUUCUCAACUGACCAAAAAGUGUCUUCCUCUCCCUCUUGUUUCCAUGGACUCUUAUUUCCAUGGACUCUUAUUUUGAAGUUUUCCCCUGGACUCCAUUUCCCAUAGAGCACUGCCCUCAUCACUGCCAGCUGUUCCUGAUUAUCCUAACCUGUCUUUCAUUUCCUCAUUAGUUCCUUUGUGUAUUUAUACCCUCCUGUCAUGUUCAUUCAUUGUCAGUUCUUGUCCGUGUAAAGCUUGUGUUGGUUAGCUAAUUUUGUUUAUGGCAUGCCACGGUGUCUUCAUCAUAUUCAUUAAAGUCUGCAUAUAGUUACAUCACCUCUCCUUCAUGCUCUCCACCACAACUUGUGACAAUAUAAUUGUGCAUAGUUAGGAAAGCAAAUUAAACAGGCUUAAUAACUUUUAAAGAGAGGAACAGUAUUUUGUUUUUGACAUCAAAGGCUGUGCAUCCAAUCAAACUCUAUGGUACUUUGCUGAAAACUCCCCUGUCACUUGGUAAUAUGGCUAAUACAAACUUAAUAUUUAGCCCUGUGUUUGUUCCAUGUGUUAGGCGGGCAGUGUUGGGAGGGUUACUUUUGAAGUGUAUUCCAUUGCAGAAUACAUGCUGUAAAAUGUAAAUUGUAACGUAUUUCGUUAGAUUACUCCAGGUCAGUAACUUAUUCUAAAUACUUUGGAUUACUUCUUCAGCACUGGUAGAUUCUUGUACUGCCAGUACAGUAAGACAAAAUACACAUGUUAAAAAUACAUUCUCUGAAAAACCUAAAUAUCUUAUGCAGUGUUGUUUCUAAAACAAGAUAAAUCAAACUGAUCUUGUUUUAAUGAUUUUUAGAUAUUUUUACAGGAAAACAAUACAAAAAUUAUCAAGAAUAUGAUUUUUUGCCCUAAUAUCAAAGGUCUUACUAGAAAAAAAGAAAUUAUAAUCCAAUGUGAAUUUUCUUGAUAAAAAAAAAUAUGAUUGUGCCUGGUAACGUGCAUGUAAAAUGGCUAGAAAUAGCAUUUUAGCUUAGCGUAAAGCUGACAAUUUAUACAAGAUUUCUAUUUCUUCUGCUCCAAACUUCAAAUUUACUUCUCUGUCUGCUUGUAUGAAUGUAACACAUAAGUGUUUCACCACUGUUCAAAUGCACUUUGGAUUGCAUAAUUUACAUGUAUACAUUUUUCCAUCUGAAAGGACUAAAUAUUAAAUGAAACAAAUGACAAUAAAAUGCAAAGUAAUCUCUUCAUUAAUCAAAAUACUUUUUGAAUGUAACUGUAUUCUAAAUACCAAUGAUUAAAAUUGUAGUGGAAUACAGUUACUUAUAUUUUGUAUUUUAAAUACGUAAUCCCGUUACAUGUAUUUCGUUACUCCCCAACACUGUAGGCGGGUAAUCACACUUUUGCUGUUGUUUAUACAUUUACAAAAUUGUCAGUAUUCCUAUUCAGCUUAUGGUAAUGAUUUUGUAUAUUGUUAGGCGUAUGCUAAUUGUUUGAUAUACAACUUUGAUUCCGUGUUGGGUCACCACUCGAUGUCUAAUGUAAAAUCUAAAGCAAAACCAUUUGAGAUUAGAUUACUAAGAAAAUAAACACUUUGGAUCACUUCCCAUUUUACCCAGAAAUUCAUAGAAUUUCCAUACAUUUAAUGACACAUAAAUCAAGUGUAGAUUUGGGAGAGUCCCACUUCAGGGGCUCUGUGCGUUUGUGCAUGACACUUAUUUGAUUUCUUUUGAUUACAGAUUGUUGUCCUCGGACAGCUCUGAAUUAGAUUAAUUACUCUUGAGGCUGCGUUUCUUGGUAAUAUGAACAUGGUGUUCUCUACUGUCUAACUCAAUGAUCUAUAUGGAGUAACAUGGUCCCUUGUUUACAAAUCAAAUGAACAGAAUGUCACUGUUGUUAUAGAAACAGUCUCUUUUAGGAAAUCCGGAUGUCCAUAUUUCUAGUUUUUCGACCAUUAGUUAUCUUAAAAAAAAAAAAAAAAAAAAAUUAUUUAUAUAUAUAUAAUAUAUAACUUUUUUCUUUUUUUUAAUUCCUGGUGUUGAGAAAUAUUCCAGAUGUCAAAUGUCUUUUAUAACAGACUAUAGUGUAAAGAUGUCUUUUCUAAUAACUCAUUAUAUGUGUAGCAAUGCAAGUUAUUUACCUUCCAAACACAUAACAAAGUGCAGAAUGUAGAGUGACUCUUAAAGAGCUUUGAAUCACAAUUACUCUUAAAUUAAUAGUAAGUGCCUCUAAUUAAAUAGUAGUACCUCCCCCCAUCUCCUCUGGAUCUAUGCCCCUGGAAUAGGGGUAUUAUGGCAAAUGGCAAAUGAAAUGAGAUUAGUCAUUUUCUUGUCAGAUUUAUUUUUUCUUUUGUUCUCAGUUACUCAAGGAUCAAAGAAGGAUUUAAUCAAUGGAGAUAAGUAUUAAAGAAGGAUGGAAAGGGUGAAUGCAGCUGAGAAUAUUGCUCUAAACUAGGUUAGCUUAGUCAGCAGUUUUAACUCAGUUCACAACAAUCACCACUAUUCAAUAAGUAGGCCAUUAAUCAACUUUGGAUGCUCCCAACCCAGAUAGCACAUCUCUGAGAUAUCUGUUUACGAGCGUUUCAUCUAGAAAGUAUCGCAUUCUAAUUAACAUCUUCUAAACAUCUUAAAAAGAUCAGAUUUACAAGCAUUCUAAAUCAUAAACGUCUCAAUGACAUCUGCCGAAUGUCUAAUUGACAUCUGAGAGGAAACAUCUUAUCGACGUAUUGCAGAUGAGCAAACAACCCAAAAAAUAUGUCUUCCAGGUGUAAACACACACAUCCAGUGGACGUCUGGGUGAUUUACAUGUGCUAUCAGGUAAUUGAAUGGGGCAGACUGCCAUUUUAAGUGGCAGAUUGUUGUGAUCAACAUUUAGAUACAUUUCAUUAUAACAUUAGCAUUUCUACCAGUAGGCCUAUCCAACAGGUCACACUAUUUCAACUAACUUCUGAGUAAAGAAGUCUCUUGAUAACUUUUGGGUAAGGCUAAAUGCUUAUAAGUAUUCUCGCAUUGCAUAAUUGUGACGCAUCUCAGCUACUUGGAUGGUAGGUGGUGACAACCUGCCCUAUUACAAUGGGACUCUUCACUUUAUUGCCAACCUCUGAUUAGUGCAUUCUGUAUCAGUAUCAGAUCAUCCAUCACUUAUGUCCCCGAGAAAUAGACAACACUACCCCCGUGUGGAUAUCCAUAAUAUCUGCAGAAUUUAUUUUCUCUUUUUCCAAGAGAAAAGCGAAUAUGUCCAUCGCAUUGUAGAUAAUGCUGAUAGUAACUGGAGCGAGUAAAUGUGAAUCAUUAAUUUAAAUUGUACGUGUAAUAUACGUGGCACCUUUCAUCUUGUGUGAUAUGUAAUAUAUGAGGAUUUGGAUACAAUGUCAAUUUGACCCACUUUUCAUGCUAUUUUUGUCAUUGUUAUACACUGUAUAAUAUUCAGUAUAAUAUACAAUACAGUACUGUGCAAAAGUCUUAGACGCAUCAUAUUUUUCACGUCUUCAAAUGUUUAUUUUAUAUAUUCUGUUUUUAGUAUAUCAUUAGGAAAUGUAUCACAGAAUGGUCGUUUUUGGGUGAACAAAUUCUUAAAGUGUGCUCCCAUAGUUUUUAUUCACCUUCUUUAAAUCAAUAGUUAAUUUUAAAGGUCCUGCAGUGUGACAAAUGAAAAGUAAAUUUGUUUUUUAAAAUACAAAUAUUUAAUGUAGUUGCUCAUUUAAUAUGGCCAUAAAAACUGUAUUCACUAUGAUUUAAAAAAAUAAUUAAAAAAGGUAUUUGUGAUUGCAAAAAAUUGACUAAAGACAACAAAUCAGCUUUGGGUUUGAGAAAAAAUAUAAUAUAUAAAAAUAUAAUACCAAAUGUGAUGCGUUUGGGGAAAAGAAAAACAUGCAGUCAGGAUCUUGAUGGUUUAUUAGAACAGGAAAUGAUAAAACAGAGCACAGUCUCCAUGCUCAAUGACAGCCAGAACUGAGGACAAUGAGCUGUCAAAUGCAAAAAUGUGUGUAGGUAUGUGUUUGUGUGAGUGAUCUCUUUUGUGUGUGCGUGUUUAUGUCCUUUUGUGUGCAAUUGUGCUGUUGAUUUCAAAAGCAUGCAUGUGACUGUCUGAUUGGUGGAGAAUAUUAGGGCACACAGUAGCAUGUUGUGCAGAAGUACACACUACGUCUGUGGAUUCAGACCGAGGCUGUGUUCAUGCAGAUAGUUCACUUAAAUUAAAUUUAAGCACUGAAAUUUGUAUGUACACUGAAGGGGACACGACUUGUCAUUUAAUGACAAUGAACCUAAUAACACAAACAGCCUCCAGCAUGAGACAAAACAGAAGUCCAUCACAUUUAACAGAAGACUUGGCUCUUUUGCAAAACGUUUCUUUCCUUCUCUCUCUUUCAGAAGAAACGUCUCCUGUACGGUUUUCAAGAAAAUCGCAUUGCAAAGUUCAUAAACCAGGAUCAAACACUGAAAUUCAGGUCACAGUCACAGCAAAAUUGUAAUCAUUGCCAUCAUCCAAAAACUUCACACACCAGAGAGCAAAUCAAAUCACUUGCGUGAAAUCAUAAACCAUAAAUCUAAAACAUUACCACAAAAACAAACAAACAAAUAUAAAAAUGAAGAUAUCAUUGCUGGCUAAUAUAUUCUCUACAGUUUUACAAAAAUGCAGACUCUGUGCUUGUUGUCAGAUGUCAGGUUUUGCCGAGUGAAAGCAUGUCAUUUUUAAACAAACUAUUUAUUUUGUUGUAUUCGCACAUUCUCUUUAAGGGUGGCCCAUUAGUUCUGGCAUUUUGUGGCUGGGGGCACGUAAAAAUCAGGACUGUCAAAGACAAAGCAAAGCAAAAAAAAAAAAAGCCCUUCUGACAAUGAGAAUGCCCCAGGCAAACUGUCUGUAUUGUUCAUGGACAGCAUUUUUAUUAGAAAAUGGAGAGUAUGCUUUCUAAAACUAGAUAUAUUUCUGCCCAAACAAAACGACGGCAGAGUUUUAAGUCUGGCUCUAUUUCUUGCUUGAGAGGGUUACAACAUAGAAAAACAGUGAAACAAUUCUCAUUUAUUUUCUUUAAGAGGAAACACACUUUAUAGAGCUCCACAGCAAAUUAACUCCAUUUCAUUGGCUUUUUUUCUUUUUUUAUAUAUAUUGUGAAUUAACCCAGGCAGUUUUUAGACACACACACACACACAAAUGUGUACAGAGCUGCUCAAGAAUAAACUGUGUUUGGUGCAGGGUCAGAAAUUAACUCGAGAUUGGGGUGAAAAUGCCACUGUAAAUGAGAAAAAUGGCACGUAUAUUUAAAAUGUGUGUAGUGAAUUCUUCUGUUUUUGAUACAUCAUAUGUAUUUCAUAAUGUUCUAUCAUAUGCCUGUGUCUCCCUUUCUUUUCUUUUGAAGAAAGAAAGUCAUACGGGUUUGGAACAACUUGAGGGUAAGUUUCAUUUUCAGGUGAAUCCUCUAUUCCCUUUAAUGUAAAAAUAAUUUCUGACGCUGAUUUGUUGGUUGUUCCUAGGGUUUAGGGUUAUUCUAGGUAAUGUUACAUUAUGGAAUGUAAUAAAAUCUUAUGGAAGAUGACUUGGAUUGGAUGUGCUGCUUUUCUUGUUUUUAAUGCCUUCUCUUUCUUGCUUGCCGUUGUACAGCGCACAUCUAAUGUAAUUGCUUUUUUAAAAUCUGGCUUUAAAGAACUGUGAGUAAUCAAGUGGGUGCCUGCAUCUCUGCACAUCCACGUCUCCCAUGAUCAUCUCUAGGCCUUAUCAAGCCAACAUAGACUUUUAUCAUGCAUGUUCGGCCUAAUGGUGCAAUAGAGUGAAAAAGCCAAAGAGAGGGAGGGAGGGCGAGAGCAGGCAUGGGUGAGCAGAUUUUUUUCAGCACGUAGAGAACUUCACUGAGGGGUUUGUCUGUGUGCGUUUAAGGGUGUUGCAAGCAUUCGAUUGAGGGCACAAGAGUUGAAUAGUAAAUAUCAACAGAGAAGCUGCGUAACAGUUCAAAAACAACAGUGUCAAAACUGUUGUAUCGUGUAAAGUAUUUACAUACUGAGUUGUAACUUAGAACUCAUUCAAUACACUGGCACUUAAAACCUAUGAAUUAUAUACUUCAUUCAUUUCUUAUACUGUUCUGCGGCUCUAUACCUCUGCAUUAAAAUAAGAACGCACUCCCUUUUUUUUUUUUUUUUUA